rnacentral:rRNA from 1 species
CUAAGUGGGAAGCCCCCUCCAAGAUGAGCAUUCCCGAUGCGUAAGCAUCCUGAAGGGCCGUACGAGACGAGUACGUUGAUAGGCGGCAGGUGGAAGCACCGUGAGGUGUGCAGCCGAGCCGUACUAAUUGCCCGUGAGGCUUGACCAU